AAGUAGUCCCAUAAAGGUCAGGGUUCACAAUCUUCCAAUCAAAUACCAAGAAUAACUGACGUCAUGUGCACCCGAUGUGUUUUCCCCAAGGGAUAAUUUAAUUUGAUAUCCACUCAGCAUACAGAAAUAUUUCCAUGUCAUUGAAUAUGGCGCUGACUUUGAUCUGUUUACUGUGAACUGUACAGCUCAUUGAUUACGACAUCACUCCGGGCUUUCACCACACGUCAUGAUAUAACUCGUAUAACGACGUGACAGAGGGCUGCACAAACCAUUAUUUCACCUUGUAUUUAUGUAUCAAUCUGUUGUGUGAUGUGAACAUUAUGACAGAAUAACUUUGAACAUGGCGAUAUCAUGUGACCACGGCACGUGACACGACAAGCCAAUCAGGACCGACUGUGGUGCAUGGGUCGUCCGUGCAGCGUGUGCAUUCCGUCCUGUGUUUUCGAGCAGCCUUCCUUGUUGAGACUUACAUUUGGUGGCAGCGGAGAAUAAUAUUUGAAGAUACACCAAAUGAAAAUCCACUGUUAUACUGCGCUUGGAGGCACAGGUGACCCAGUCCUCAAAGACGCCCAAUUCCCUGUACAUUGUUGCGUCCCUUGAACACGCCAGAAACCUUUGAACCUGAUGGCGGCAAGGGGGCGUCCUUUGAGCAAGCCAGAACUGGAAUACUGUUCAAAGCAGCGUUAAACGCACCUCGCUCACAUCCUGACUUGGUCAACACAGACAUUGAGCAGAAUAUCCCAAUUGUGUAUUUGAGCAGAAAUAAAUGUGUAUCAACC